UUCGGGGUACUCGAGUGGCGAACGGGUGAGUAACACGUGGGUGAUCUGCCCUGCACUUUGGGAUAAGCCAAGUGGGAAACUGGGUCUAAUACCGAAUAGGACCACGCGCUUCAUGGUGUGUGGUGGAAAGCUUUUGCGGUGUGGGAUGGGCCCGCGGCCUAUCAGCUUGUUGGUGGGGUAAUGGCCUACCAAGGCGACGACGGGUAGCCGGCCUGAGAGGGUGACCGGCCACACUGGGACUGAGAUACGGCCCAGACUCCUACGGGAGGCAGCAGUGGGGAAUAUUGCACAAUGGGCGCAAGCCUGAUGCAGCGACGCCGCGUGAGGGAUGACGGCCUUCGGGUUGUAAACCUCUUUCAAUAGGGACGAAGCGCAAGUGACGGUACCUAUAGAAGAAGCACCGGCCAACUACGUGCCAGCAGCCGCGGUAAUACGUAGGGUGCGAGCGUUGUCCGGAAUUACUGGGCGUAAAGAGCUCGUAGGUGGUUUGUCGCGUUGUUCGUGAAAACUCACAGCUUAACUGUGGGCGUGCGGGCGAUACGGGCAGACUAGAGUACUGCAGGGGAGACUGGAAUUCCUGGUGUAGCGGUGGAAUGCGCAGAUAUCAGGAGGAACACCGGUGGCGAAGGCGGGUCUCUGGGCAGUAACUGACGCUGAGGAGCGAAAGCGUGGGGAGCGAACAGGAUUAGAUACCCUGGUAGUCCACGCCGUAAACGGUGGGUACUAGGUGUGGGUUCCUUCCUUGGGAUCCGUGCCGUAGCUAACGCAUUAAGUACCCCGCCUGGGGAGUACGGCCGCAAGGCUAAAACUCAAAGGAAUUGACGGGGGCCCGCACAAGCGGCGGAGCAUGUGGAUUAAUUCGAUGCAACGCGAAGAACCUUACCUGGGUUUGACAUGCACAGGACGCCGGCAGAGAUGUCGGUUCCCUUGUGGCCUGUGUGCAGGUGGUGCAUGGCUGUCGUCAGCUCGUGUCGUGAGAUGUUGGGUUAAGUCCCGCAACGAGCGCAACCCUUGUCCUAUGUUGCCAGCGGGUUAUGCCGGGGACUCGUAGGAGACUGCCGGGGUCAACUCGGAGGAAGGUGGGGAUGACGUCAAGUCAUCAUGCCCCUUAUGUCCAGGGCUUCACACAUGCUACAAUGGCCGGUACAAAGGGCUGCGAUGCCGUGAGGUGGAGCGAAUCCUUUCAAAGCCGGUCUCAGUUCGGAUCGGGGUCUGCAACUCGACCCCGUGAAGUCGGAGUCGCUAGUAAUCGCAGAUCAGCAACGCUGCGGUGAAUACGUUCCCGGGCCUUGUACACACCGCCCGGUNCGUCACGUCRUGAAAGUCGGUAACACCCGAAGCC
rnacentral:rRNA from 1 species